rnacentral:rRNA from 1 species
UACGUAGGUGGCAAGCGUUGUCCGGAUUUAUUGGGUUUAAAGGGUGCGUAGGCGGCUGUUCAAGUCGGGGGUGAAAGCCUGUGGCUCAACCACAGAAUGGCCUUCGAUACUGGACGGCUCGAGACCGGAAGAGGUAAGUGGAACUGCGAGUGUAGAGGUGAAAUUCGUAGAUAUUCGCAAGAACACCAGUGGCGAAGGCGGCUUACUGGUCCGGUUCUGACGCUGAGGCGCGAAAGCGUGGGGAGCAAACAGG